UUAUAAAAAUUCCAUCCAUUUUUACUAUUAAAAACUAGGGUGGCUAACAGAAUAGCCACAUAGUUACUAGUUUUUAACAGUAGAAAUAAAUGGAAUUUAUAA
rfam:Gossypium hirsutum cultivar TM-1 chromosome 11, whole genome shotgun sequence